UCUUCUUCUUCUUCUCUUCUUUUCUCCUUUGCUCUUCCUUUCCCUCUCUCUCUCAUACAUAGGGAAUGAAGGGUGAAGAGGGGAUAAGCAUGAAGAGGGUGCCCUGGCAGGUUAGUGGAAUUCCACUAAGUCAUGUGCUAAUUACCAAAAUACCCCUCGACUAAUACAAGUUAGCGACACGGAUCAGAUACCUUUCGCAGUCCCUUCUAAAAUUCCGAUUGAGCUCAAACUUGACAGGCAUGUUCGGUUUUACUUAACAAGUCCAAAAAAAUUUUAACAUUUCAGUUCCGACCCCAUUUGGUACCGUGAACUGUACCGAACUGCAAUCUUUAUCAGAUAGCUUUCGGAUUCUAUUUCUCUCUCUACGGGUGUCAGAAUAAUAUGAAACUUUAAAUCUAGCCUCAUAAAAAUAUUUCUGACAUCUCCUCCAGUUUUCAUAAUUUUCUGACACUGUGCAUUUUCUGUUAAUUUAUCAGUCCCGCUCUUUACAGAAAAUUCUAAAUCUUCUGUUUUCGCUCCGAUUUCAACACGAGUCAUUCCAGAAUUAUAUUUUACACCCUUAAGUCCAAUCAAAUAUUAUCUCACACUAUUUUUAUAUUAUUUUGCUCACUUUAAUUCUUUUAAUCAAAGUUAGCAUCGGAAAUCCAAAAAUUCUCUUUACAUUUCGUUUCGCGCUCAAUUUGCGUCGAAACACUUAUUUAUCUCCAGAAUUCAUUCACACGCAUCACAAAUCACUCGGGGAUGAUGUCCAACUAGCUCAAUUCUCACUUUGAUCCCCUGGAUCAAAGUUGACAUCGCAACUCCAAGUUGCCAUAUAUUACAGAUACUGUUAGAAAAUUGCGUACGGUAAAAACGUAGCGAAAAAAAAAAUCAAACAAAUUUGAUUUUGAAAAUUCUUGAGAUCCAAUCUCAAAAACCACGCAAUUAGGAUCCCUCAUGCUCUUUAAGAUUAA
rnacentral:lncRNA from 1 species